UACGGGGGGGGCAAGCGUUGUUCGGAAUUACUGGGCGUAAAGGGCUGGUAGGCGGCCAACUAAGUCGGAUGUGAAAUCCCCAGGCUUAACCUGGGAACUGCAUCCGAUACUGGUCGGCUUGAAUCCGGGAGAGGGAUGCAGAAUUCCAGGUGUAGCGGUGAAAUGCGCAGAUAUCAGGAGGAACACCGAUUGCGAAGGCAGCUCGCUGGAACGUUACUGACGCUGAGACGCGAAAGCGUGGGGAGCAAACAGG
rnacentral:rRNA from 1 species